UACAGAGGGUGCAAGCGUUAAUCGGAAUUACUGGGCGUAAAGCGCUCGUAGGUGGUUAAUUAAGUUGGAUGUGAAAGCCCCGGGCUCAACCUGGGAAUUGCAUUUAAUACUGGUUAACUAGAGUAUGAUAGAGGAUAGUGGAAUUUCCGGUGUAGCGGUGAAAUGCGUAGAUAUCGGAAGGAACAUCAGUGGCGAAGGCGACUAUCUGGAUUAAUACUGACACUGAGGAGCGAAAGCGUGGGGAUCAAACAGG
rnacentral:rRNA from 1 species